UACGAAGGGGGCUAGCGUUGCUCGGAAUUACUGGGCGUAAAGGGCGCGUAGGCGGAUACUUAAGUUAGAGGUGAAAGCCCAGGGCUCAACCUUGGAACUGCCUUUGAUACUGGCUAUCUUGAGUUCGGGAGAGGUGAGUGGAAUGCCGAGUGUAGAGGUGAAAUUCGUAGAUAUUCGGCGGAACACCAGUGGCGAAGGCGACUCACUGGCCCGAUACUGACGCUGAGGUGCGAAAGCGUGGGGAGCAAACAGG
rnacentral:rRNA from 1 species